UAAAUAUGCAUUUAUAUCUAAUUACAUCUAAUUUAUCUGAUUUAUAUAGAGAUUGAUCAACUACAGUAUUUAUAAUCCUUUCAUCUGUGACAGCUACUUUUCCAAUUUUUUCCCUGACUACAGAAAGCCUGUUAAGGAGAAACAAGUGGGACAGCUGAACAAGUUUCUUUUGACUAGUAAAAUUGUACACAUACAGCUUCCCACAACUGCUGUGUGUGCAAGAAUGGAAUGAUUCUCUCAAGAGGCUGUUCUGCAGGUGAUACCUAUCUGGUAUUUCAUAGCCUUGGGUUUCAGCAAUACCUCACAGUGCCUCAGCUAGUGGAUCUUUAGUAUAGGAUGGGAACUAUUUAAACUCAGCUUUUCUUGGAAAGAUUUCUCCAGAUACAACAACUAUGGAAAUGUUCAUUGUGGUUAGCUAGAAAAAUGCAGAAUAACUGAUUCAUCCAGGCUUUCCCCCACCACACACAAUCUGAUUUAUUCCAAUAUGUCUCACCCUUUCCAAACCUCAGUACUGUAAGAGGUAUAUCUGUAUCUGUUAUAUCUUGGCUGGAUAACUGUAGCCAUGGGGAUGCAGUGGCUCAAAAUUGCCCAAAGGCCAGCUGUAAAUUUGACCAGGUAGCAUCUGGAUGUAAUUUCUAGUUUAAUUUCUGAGUGUCAUAGAGAGGGUUU